rnacentral:tRNA from 1 species
AGGCGGUUUGGCCGAGUGGUCUAAGGCGAUUGAGUACGUUUCACUUCAACACAUAUCCACCUGAAUUUUCACUAACCAUUGCAACAGCUAGAAAUCAAUUCUCUUCGGAGGCGCAUGUUCGAAUCAUGCAGCCGUCGUGGCAUA